rnacentral:rRNA from 1 species
AUUGAACGCUGGCGGCAUGCCUUACACAUGCAAGUCGAACGGUAACGGGCCUUCGGGUGCCGACGAGUGGCGAACGGGUGAGUAAUACAUCGGAACGUGCCCGAUCGUGGGGGAUAACGAGGCGAAAGCUUUGCUAAUACCGCAUACGAUCUACGGAUGAAAGCAGGGGACCGCAAGGCCUUGCGCGGACUUUGCUGCCGAUGGCAGAUUAGGUAGUUGGUGGGAUAAAAGCUUACCAAGCCGACGAUCUGUAGCUGGUCUGAGAGGAUGAUCAGCCACACUGGGACUGAGACACGGCCCAGACUCCUACGGGAGGCAGCAGUGGGGAAUUUUGGACAAUGGGCGCAAGCCUGAUCCAGCCAUGCCGCGUGAAGGAUGAAGGCCUUCGGGUUGUAAACUGCUUUUGUACGGAACGAAAAGCCUUCUUAUAAUACAGGAGGGUCAUGACGGUACCGUAAGAAUAAGCACCGGCUAACUACGUG